rnacentral:rRNA from 1 species
UACGUAGGGGGCGAGCGUUGUCCGGAAUUACUGGGCGUAAAGGGCACGCAGGCUGUGCUUCAAGUCAGCUGUAAAAGGAUGCGGCUUAACCGUGUUAUGCAGUUGAGACUGAGGUGCUGGAGUACCGGAGAGGCAAGUGGAAUUCCCAGUGUAGCGGUGAAAUGCGUAGAUAUUGGGAAGAACAUCGGUGGCGAAGGCGACUUGCUGGACGGUAACUGACGCUGAGGUGCGAAAGCCAGGGUAGCGAACGGG